rnacentral:rRNA from 1 species
GAUGAACGCUGGCGGCGUGCCUAAUACAUGCAAGUCGAGCGAACGGGCGAGAAGCUUGCUUCUCUGAUGUUAGCGGCGGACGGGUGAGUAACACGUGGAUAACCUACCUAUAAGACUGGGAUAACUUCGGGAAACCGGAGCUAAUACCGGAUGAUAUUUUGAACCGCAUGGUUCAAAAGUGAAAGACGAUCUUGCUGUCACUUAUAGAUGGAUCCGCGCUGCAUUAGCUAGUUGGUAAGGUAACGGCUUACCAAGGCAACGAUGCAUAGCCGACCUGAGAGGGUGAUCGGCCACACUGGAACUGAGACACGGUCCAGACUCCUACGGGAGGCAGCAGUAGGGAAUCUUCCGCAAUGGGCGAAAGCCUGACGGAGCAACGCCGCGUGAGUGAUGAAGGUCUUCGGAUCGUAAAACUCUGUUAUUAGGGAAGAACAUAUGUGUAAGUAACUGUGCACAUCUUGACGGUACCUAAUCAGAAAGCCACGGCUAACUACGUG